rnacentral:rRNA from 1 species
UUUGACCUCAGAUCAGACAAGACUACCCGCUGAAUUUAAGCAUAUUAAUAAGCGGAGGAAAAGAAACUAACAAGGAUUCCCCCAGUAACGGCGAGUGAAGCGGGAACAGCUCAAGCUUAAAAUCUCCGUUGCUUGCAACGGCGAAUUGUAGCCUCGAGAAGCGCCUUCAAACUGGAUGCACUGUGCUUAAGUUGCUCGGAACGGCACAUCGUAGAGGGUGACAAUCCCGUAUACGGCACAUUGUGCACCAGCCACGUAGCGCUUUCUAU